CCCUUAGAUGCUCUGGGCCGCACGCGCGCUACACUGGUCGAUGCAACGAGUUUCUUUCCUUGGCCGACAGGCCUGGGCAAUCUUUGAACAUCGAUCGUGAUCGGGAUAGAUUCUUGUAAUUUUUGAUCUUAAACGAGGAAUUCCUAGUAAACGCAAGUCAUCAGCUUGCAUUGAUUACGUCCCUGCCCUUUGUACACACCGCCCGUCGCACCUACCGAUUGAAUGGUCCGGUGAAUCUUUAGGACUGUGGCUGAGGCCUUGCCUUGUGCGGGUCUGGCCGUGGGAAUUUAGUUAAACCUUACCAUUUAGAGGAAGGUGAANUCGUAACA
rnacentral:rRNA from 1 species